rnacentral:rRNA from 49 species
AAAUUGAAGAGUUUGAUCAUGGCUCAGAUUGAACGCUGGCGGCAGGCCUAACACAUGCAAGUCGAACGG